rnacentral:rRNA from 1 species
UGCCUGUAAGAUCGGAAUAACCCCGGGAAACCGGGGCUAAUGCCGGGUAAUACUUUUCUUCGCAUGAAGAUAAGUUGAAAGAUGGCUUCUCGCUAUCACUUACAGAUGGGCCCGCGGCGCAUUAGCUAGUUGGUGAGGUAACGGCUCACCAAGGCAACGAUGCGUAGCCGACCUGAGAGGGUGAUCGGCCACACUGGGACUGAGACACGGCCCAGACUCCUACGGGAGGCAGCAGUAGGGAAUCUUCCGCAAUGGACGAAAGUCUGACGGAGCAACGCCGCGUGAACGAUGAAGGUCUUCGGAUCGUAAAGUUCUGUUGUCAGGGAAGAACAAGUACCGUGCGAAUAGAGCGGUACCUUGACGGUACCUGACGAGGAAGCCCCGGCUAACUACGUGCCAGCAGCCGCGGUAAUACGUAGGGGGCAAGCGUUGUCCGGAAUUAUUGGGCGUAAAGCGCGCGCAGGCGGUUCCUUAAGUCUGAUGUGAAAGCCCACGGCUCAACCGUGGAGGGUCAUUGGAAACUGGGGAACUUGAGGACAGAAGAGGAGAGUGGAAUUCCACGUGUAGCGGUGAAAUGCGUAGAUAUGUGGAGGAACACCAGUGGCGAAGGCGACUCUCUGGUCUGUUUCUGACGCUGAGGUGCGAAAGCGUGGGUAGCAAACAGGAUUAGAUACCCUGGUAGUC